rnacentral:tRNA from 1 species
GGUUUUAUAGUUUAAAAAAAAUUUAAGAGUGCAAAUCUUAAGAUGCUAUAAGAGCUAAAAUCU